rnacentral:tRNA from 1 species
AAGAAAGUGACAGAAUGGUUAUGUGCUUGGCUUGAAACCAGGCUAUGGGGGUUCAAUUCCCUCCUUUCUCG